UCCCAGUUGCCCCCAGACAUCCACAGUUGCUCCCCCAGUGGCUCCCAGUUACCUCCCAGUUGGGUCCCCAAAGGCUCCCAGUUGCCCCAAGUGACUCCCAGUCGCCCCCCCCAGUAGUUCCCAGUUGUCCCCAGUGACUCCCAAGGGUUCCCAGUUGCCCCCCCCCAGUAGUUCCCAGUUGUCCCCAGUGGCUCCCAGUGCCCCCAGUAUCCCCCCCCUCCCCAGAGCAUGCGGCUCAAGCUCAUCGCCAGCAAUUCCACGAUGGAGCGGCGCUUCAGCCCCUGGAUCGGGGGCUCCAUCCUGGCCUCGCUCGGCACCUUCCAGCAGAUGUGGAUCUCCAAGCAGGAGUACGAGGAGGGCGGGAAGCAGUGCGUGGAGAGGAAGUGUCCCUGAGGGGGAAAAGAAAUGGGGGGAAAUCAAUAAAAAAAUCGGUGAAAUCCA